rnacentral:lncRNA from 1 species
UUGAGUCGAUGAGUCAUCAUCUCCGGGGGGAUGCCGGACAUAUCCGCUGCUGACCAAGCGAAUAUAUCAGCAUUGGCCUUCAGCAGCUCCACUAGCUGUCGUUGCUCAGGGUCAGAUAAUUGGGAUCCGACCCAGACCACUCGAUCAGGAUCUUCUGCUAUCAGGAUGGAAACCAGCUGUUCGGCCAGUUCGCCCCGUUCCUCCUCUCCCCACUGGUCCAGCCUGUCGGUCGUCAGGGAGUCCUUCGCUUGGUUACUUCGAGCAGAGAUUUGGAAGCAUCGUCGGGUGAGCUGUUGGUCCCCGCGCAUCUC